CCAGAACCCAGUGGCUUAUUCAACAACUCCACCUGGAUCUCUAAUUAGCAUCUCAAUAAGCUUGGAAAUCAAAUUCCUUGCAUUUUUUUGCCGCUUAGGAGCCCAGAGGCUGGAAAUAGAAAUUAGAUUCAGAUACAAAAAUAUCAGAUUUACAUUUCUUGCACUCCUGAGUUCGUAGACUUGCCCUGUUCACACAAAAUAGUGCACGGUCCUGUGAAGCAGCAAUGUGUUCUUACAUGCAAUAUGCCUUCCUUAUUUUGGCCCUUUCUGGAGCUACCAGCAGCAUUGUGUAGAAGAGGAAACGGGGAGCUGCUGCGGCUCGCUGACCUGGUGGCUGGCCCGCGGUGGGGAGGUGGGGUGAGCCACCUACUGAUGACAGCCACAGAUGGCAGAUUCAACAGACUACUUUGAUGAUGCUGCCCUCACAAGUGGCAUCCUGAGAUUGUGGCCCUGGAAGUCAUCCUUCAUGCCUCGGGGUCUCAGGGUCAUCUCUGUUCCUACUGGCAGGGGAAGAAUUGUCACAGCUAGAAGAUGUGCUACUAGCAUCUAAUGGUUGAGGCCAGUGAUGCUGCUUGACAUCCUGCACUACAUGGACAGCCCCCAACAAAGAAUCAGCAGAUCCUAAAUGUCAGUGUGCUGAGGCUGACAGAUGCUGCCUUACUCAGAGAGACCAGGUAAAGUGAUGCAUCGGUUAGGUUUGGGUUGUAGGCAACAGAAACGAACUCCGGCUUGUCUGAGCAAGAAGGUGCAGCGGUGGGUUGAGAAAUGUGCCUCCCCACCCAGAUGCCCCUCCUCUAACCUCCAAAAUGGGGGAGGAUGGCACCCCUGUGACUCACACCAUUACCUAAGACAAAAGGUCACUAUUGGAAGAAGAGAGAUGAAGAGCUUCCCACACAGGGAACAAGAGCAACAGUGGAUGCCUGUCACAGGAUCAGAUUCCUGGCGCCGGGGCUGCAAUCUGGCGGCUCCCACACUGGCCAUUACAGAUGCUAAGAAUACCACAGAAAUUCCCCAAGUCCAUUUUCAGCUUCAUUACAGGAGAUAAGAAUAAAUGCUGGAUAACUUGGAGAACUUGGGCUGCUUGCUACUGCCACACAUUCUACUUGCUCCUGACCGACGCAAAGGGAGACUGUCUGCUGAAACAGCAGGAGGAAGAGCCUAUGAUGGUUUUUUUUCUCUUUUGUAAAAGAGAGACAACAAAGGCUCAGCACUUCGAAAUCUCAAAUCUCCUCCAAUCCAGAUUCCUGAUUUCACUCCCCAGAGGCCUCUGCCAUCAGGAACUCGAUGCACAUCUUUGCAGUUUGUGAUUUUAGACUUUUAUCACAUUCCCACAUAGGUAAAGAAACUCCAGCAUUGUUCCCUCCAUUUGUUUUUUACAAACAUAUGUUGUAUACGAUUUACACCAGCAGGUCAUAUUGCGCUUCCAUCCGUCUGCUUACUUCUUUUUUCACUCGCCGUUACGUCUCUCUGAUCUGUCCGCAUCCACCUGGCUGAAGCACAGAUCUACACUGAGACCACAUCAAUCCGCUGAUCUAAUUCCAUCUGUCUCAAAGAGCAGCUAGGUGUCCAUCAUAUGGCUUGUCCAUGUUUUACUCUUCUGUUCACCCUCUGAUGGAAGUUCAGGGGGUUUCAGACUCUGCCAUUACAAAGACCUC